CCUACGGGAGGCAGCAGUGAGGAAUAUUGGUCAAUGGCCGAGAGGCUGAACCAGCCAAGUCGCGUGAGGGAAGACGGCCCUAUGGGUUGUAAACCUCUUUUGUCGGGGAACAAAGCGAGGCACGUGUGCCUUAUUGCGUGUACCCGAAGAAAAAGCAUCGGCUAACUCCGUGCCAGCAGCCGCGGUAAUACGGAGGAUGCGAGCGUUAUCCGGAUUUAUUGGGUUUAAGGGGUGCGCAGGCGGUGAUUUAAGUCAGCGGUCAAAUUGCGGGGCUCAACCCCGUACUGCCGUUGAAACUGGAUGCCUUGAGUGCGCGAGAAGUAGGCGGAAUGCGUGGUGUAGCGGUGAAAUGCAUAGAUAUCACGCAGAACUCCGAUUGCGAAGGCAGCAUACCGGCGCGCAACUGACGCUGAGGCACGAAAGCGUGGGGAUCGAACAGGAUUAGAUACCCUGGUAGUC
rnacentral:rRNA from 1 species